GUCAGCAAUCGAAAUAAUUCCAUAAAUGUGUUUGUUGAGUGAUUUCUGGGUCGUGACGAAACGUGCUUAUUCAAGCUUCAAUUCAAUUCGAACACAUACAAUAUUUCGUAAAAAUAUGUUCAUCAGUUCCGAAGAUAACACAUCAUAAAUCGGUCCCUCGGGAGCAGCUGAACUCAGAGCAAGAGAAAUCAGAGAACCAAACAGAGAGCGAGCGCGGACGUUGCAGCUGGAGCAUGACUUCCCCAAAAAUAACAGCAGACAAGUCAGCAUCGAACGCCUCGGUGUCGAAGCAGGACUCAGCCGAAGGCAGCAACGGUAAUGCACCGGGAACUAGCACCAUUAGUGUUCCGGUCGUCGAGAGUAUACGAGAAGCGGUUCCAAAUGGAUUUUUCAGCUGGUUGAAGGUCUUCCGCUUCGCAAAUCUGAUGAUCAAACAAGGAUGCUAAGCUAGAAAUCCACUCUUCCGGCGAAAUGUCGAAUAUUUCUAUUUAUGAGUAGAAAAGCAUUGUUGGAAGAUUAGCACCCAAAUUCGCUAGGGCUAUGUCUCCGUUUUAACCAUAAGUAGCCAUUAUGAAUUUGAUUCUUUGAAAGAUAAACACCACAAAGUUUAUAAAACAUGUUUGCUGGAUUUACAAAUUCUAUCGUCAAUAAAUUUUACGGGCAAUAAGUAAACAGUUGCAAA